CCUGGCUCAGGAUGAACGCUAUCUACAGGCUUAACACAUGCAAGUCGAGGGGCAGCAUGGUCUUAGCUUGCUAAGACUGAUGGCGACCGGCGCACGGGUGAGUAACACGUAUCCAACCUGCCGUCUACUCUUGGACAGCCUUCUGAAAGGAAGAUUAAUACAAGAUGGCAUCAUGAGUCCGCAUGUUCACAUGAUUAAAGGUAUUCCGGUAGACGAUGGGGAUGCGUUCCAUUAGAUAGUAGGCGGGGUAACGGCCCACCUAGUCUUCGAUGGAUAGGGGUUCUGAGAGGAAGGUCCCCCACAUUGGAACUGAGACACGGUCCAAACUCCUACGGGAGGCAGCAGUGAGGAAUAUUGGUCAAUGGGCGAGAGCCUGAACCAGCCAAGUAGCGUGAAGGAUGACUGCCCUAUGGGUUGUAAACUUCUUUUAUAAAGGAAUAAAGUCGGGUAUGCAUACCCGUUUGCAUGUACUUUAUGAAUAAGGAUCGGCUAACUCCGUGCCAGCAGCCGCGGUAAUACGGAGGAUCCGAGCGUUAUCCGGAUUUAUUGGGUUUAAAGGGAGCGUAGAUGGAUGUUUAAGUCAGUUGUGAAAGUUUGCGGCUCAACCGUAAAAUUGCAGUUGAUACUGGAUAUCUUGAGUGCAGUUGAGGCAGGCGGAAUUCGUGGUGUAGCGGUGAAAUGCUUAGAUAUCACGAAGAACUCCGAUUGCGAAGGCAGCCUGCUAAGCUGCAACUGACAUUGAGGCUCGAAAGUGUGGGUAUCAAACAGGAUUAGAUACCCUGGUAGUCCACACGGUAAACGAUGAAUACUCGCUGUUUGCGAUAUACUGCAAGCGGCCAAGCGAAAGCGUUAAGUAUUCCACCUGGGGAGUACGCCGGCAACGGUGAAACUCAAAGGAAUUGACGGGGGCCCGCACAAGCGGAGGAACAUGUGGUUUAAUUCGAUGAUACGCGAGGAACCUUACCCGGGCUUAAAUUGCAGAUGAAUUACGGUGAAAGCCGUAAGCCGCAAGGCAUCUGUGAAGGUGCUGCAUGGUUGUCGUCAGCUCGUGCCGUGAGGUGUCGGCUUAAGUGCCAUAACGAGCGCAACCCUUGUUGUCAGUUACUAACAGGUUCCGCUGAGGACUCUGACAAGACUGCCAUCGUAAGAUGUGAGGAAGGUGGGGAUGACGUCAAAUCAGCACGGCCCUUACGUCCGGGGCUACACACGUGUUACAAUGGGGGGUACAGAGGGCCGCUACCACGCGAGUGGAUGCCAAUCCCCAAAACCCCUCUCAGUUCGGACUGGAGUCUGCAACCCGACUCCACGAAGCUGGAUUCGCUAGUAAUCGCGCAUCAGCCACGGCGCGGUGAAUACGUUCCCGGGCCUUGCACACACCGCCCG
rnacentral:rRNA from 1 species